rnacentral:rRNA from 1 species
AUGUCACUCGUGGGUUGCAACAAGGCCAACAAUAUCCCCAACAACAAAUGUUUUCCUUCCCUAACGCAUGCAGAAAGCCAAGGACAGGAAGCCGUGGAUGGGUUGCAACAAGGCUUCCACCAGUCCCUCCGUCAACAUCAAUCAUUCGUGCUGCAAAAGUGGUUGCGACGGGAAGACCAGGCCAAAGAGACAGAAAUUUUGGCCGCUCUAGCAGAUGCAUUGCUGCAUGUGCCAAGGGUGACACCACCCGCGCCCAUACACCAGGGUGAACAGCAAACACCGGAGGCAGCACAGAGCUAUACACAUCCACCAAACAUUGAAGCUUAUGUUUUGCCAAGGCUAGAGAUGCGCUUUGAAAUUUUUGAAGAAGAAAAGAACUUCUACAACCUCUAUGCGAAGCACGCGGGUUUUGCUAUCAGGGAAGGCUCCAAGUUUAAGACCAGAGCCUACCUUUAUUGCACAUGCUAUGGAGUCUAUCAUUCGAAGGUGUCUGAAGCAAAUAGACAGCGGAACAAAACGACAGCCAGGACUAACUGCGGGGCUAAAAUGAGGCUAAAGAUUGAAAAGGAUGGAACACUUGUCAUAAAAGAGAUAGUCUGGGAACACAACCACAGGCUACAGCUCACUCUGCAAAUGCUUGUCUUCUUGCACUCCCACAAAAACUUUGACAAAACAAUCUUGGAGUAUGUCAAGUACCUGCAGUUCAAAGGCAUUGAACACACGCAAAUCAUGAGCAUACUAGGCGGUGAUGACCCUGGUAGCUACUUCCUAGAAAUGAAUGCCAAAGACCUGAUUAACCUGAAAGCAAAAAAUUCAAGGAUGGAUGAUGUGGACGAUGUCCUAAAGACUACUACAUUCUUUGGUUUCGCCAUGAUAAGAGAUGAGGAUGCAGAAUCAUUCAGAUGGAUGUUCAAGACAUUUUUAAGGUGCAUGAGAGGGAAGGCUCCUAUAUGCAUCCUCACAGGUACAACCGCGAAAAACCACCCCCAACCACCACCACCACCACCCCCUUCCCCCAAAAAACUAAAAGGAAAAUAA